CGCCGGGGGCGGUGCGGACGGCGGCGGGAUGGCGGCGGCUAUGACGAGCACGGCGGAGCGGGCGGUGCUGGAAGAAGAGUUUAAAUGGCUUUUACAAGAAGAGGUCCAUGCUGUUUUGAGGCAGCUGCAGGAUAUUUUGAAGGAGGCCUCCCACCGUUUUGCUCUGCCCACCAGUGGCUCAGGAGCAGCUGUCAGGCAGGAGAAUUUCGUACUGAGCACAUCAGGCACAGACCAGGUGAAAGGUGUGUUGACACUACAGGGAGACGCCCUAUGUCAAGCUGAUGUUAAUCUGAAAAUGCCCAGAAACAAUCAGCUCCUGCACUUUGCAUUCCGGGAAGACAAACAGUGGAAAUUGCAGCAGAUCCAGGAUGCCAGAAACCAUGUGAACCAAGCCAUUUACCUGCUUAUGAACCGAGAUGUGAACUACCAGUUCAAAACAGGCUCGGAGGUGCUCAAGCUUAUGGAUGCUGUGAUGUUGCAGCUCUCCAGAGCCCGAAAUCGGCUGACCACUCCAGCUACCCUAACACUACCAGAAAUUGCCUCUAGCGGUCUCACAAAAAUGUUCACCCCUGUGCUGCCUCCAGACAUCCUUGUGAAUUUCUAUAUUAAUCUGAACAAGCUGUGCCUCACUGUCUACCAGCUCCAUGUGCUGCAGCCCAGCACAACCAAGAACUUCAAGCCUGCUGGAGGGUCCAUUUUACACAACCCUGGGGCCAUGUUUGAGUUUGGCAGCCAGCGGUAUGAAGUCAGCCAUGUCCAUAAAGUGGAAUGUGUUGUCCCGUGGUUAAAUGAUGCCCUUGUGUUCUUCACAGUUUCACUGCAGCUUUGCCAGCAACUGAAGGACAAGAUCUCCGUUUUCUCCAGUUACUGGAACUACAGGCCAUAUUAACUCUCUGUGGAAUAGUUUAAGCCCUUACAGUACUUCCAGUGUCUCUCUCUUUGUUUUCUCAUCCCAUCUGAGUCUAGGUCAGCCUGAGGAAUGUUGGAGUUCACUGCCAGAUGCCCUCCAAAGGGCAGGGUCAGUGUACCCAGAGACACAGCUUUAGUAGCCUUGUCUGGGACUGCUGCAUAAGCAGGUCACAAAGCAGUGCUGGGUGAUUGGAGCUUCCACCUGUCCCUGUCCUCUUGUGCAUUGUGUGGCUCACAUUUCCCAAGCUCCUGAUGACUUACACGGGUCUGUUACAAGGGAUGAGGGCUCUGGACCACCCUCAUUAACUGGAUCUGUACACAGUGCUGUAACUUAACUCCUGGACUGGGGGGUGGCUGGGAAGAGGGGAAGGGUAAUUUAACACACCUCAUAAAAGGUAGGGCAUGUUGCUCCACGUAGUGAAGUACUUUGCUGUGAUCUGCUCCAGCCGUAGUUAUCACUAACCCUGAGCGACUCCCUCUCCUGCCUGUUCUGUCCAUCCCCAUGUUACUGAUUCGCCUUUGAGGAUGCUCUUACUUGCUGAUGUUUGAACUCUUUGGUUUUUUUUCUUUUUUUCCCUGGCAUCAAUGUGAUUUUUUUUUUCCCUAAGCCCUAGUUGGGCUCAUUGGUCUUUUCCAGGUUUAGUAUCUUGUUUUCGCUGCUAGCCUUUGGAGUUGCCUUGGUACCUUGAGCACAGCUGUUCAGUCCCUCAUCCUGUCAUUAAAUACAAACUUGGUUGUUUUCCAAGUGCCAUCCAGAGCUCUAUGUUCAAAGAAAUCACAGAAUGGUUGAGGCUGGAAGGGGGAUCUCUAGGUCUAUCCGGUCCAAAUCUCCUCUCAAGAAGGGCUGUCCAAACCUUGUCUCCCAGUACCGUGUUCAGAGGGGUUUUGAAUCACUCCAAGGGUGGAGACUAGAGGUUGGUGUGUUGCUUUCAUUUUUAUUUGUCCUGCAUAGACCUUUGCUCUGGGCAUGUGACCUGUCUUGUCGGUGCCCUUCCUUCCUGCCCCUUUGUGAGAUCCCUGGGUGUGGCAUUUAUUAAUAUAAUAAACUCACACGACUCGGUUGGUUGGGGGUCCAAACAACCAAAUCCGUUUAUUGGAAGCAAACAGCAUCUUUUAUAUGCUUUUUAAAACAACAUGUGAUUCUCUUAACCAAUUACCAUGGGGCACCCCAGUGCCUAUGUGCAGGAGUACAAUUGGGACUUCAUCUCCCAAGACGCUCCUUCCAGUAUCCCUAAAACAUGCCCUUGCACCCGGGAUUCUGUGUAGGUUAGUGCCAGCCUUGUGCUGCUGCAGCCUCCUUCUCUGGGGACUUGACACUUGUUGCUGUGCUUGGCCUAAUGCAUGCUGAUGUCACAGGUUGCAGGCCAUAACAGAGCCUACACAUGAGCAUCAGCCUGUGACUGAUGAAUGUGUGUGAAUGAAUGUGGAAGGUAGAGAGGCCUGAAUGGGCUGAUGCAAUAGCAGACUUGUUACUGAUUCCAGUCAGUUAGCCUUAUGACUAGUUGCGGCCAUGACCCUGGGUGUGCAUUUACCAACCCUUGCUCUGAUCCAGACCAUUUUCUGCUUAGAAAGUGAUUGUGCAUGUGUGGAGCUGCUCACCAUUAACAGUCUCUCAAAGGAGAAUGUUUUUAUGGUUAAUAAGCUCUCUGGUUAUUAACUGUGUAUGGUCUUUUUUAGCCCUCCCUGUGUGCAGAGUGAGCUCCUUUUUUAAUUCACACUAGUGCGUGCGGUUCAAUCAAUAUUGUCACAGAGGCCAACUCAGCUUCCUGCUGGUGGGGGUAGAAUAUGCAACCAAAUGCGUGUUGUUUUCUUCUGAUGAGAAAAGUCUUCCUCGGUUCUGGAAGGCAGGAGUGUGCAGAAUGGAAUGCCAGUCCUGAUUCCAGCUCUGAUGUGCGAGGGCAGUGCAGGGAGGACUGCUGGAGACUGCUUGAGUUGCUGGGAUCAGAGCAGCUGCCUGCCCAGCCCAGCUCCAAGGGAAGUCAUCUGGCACAUGCCUCGUGCUGAGCUCUGUGCUCACCCAUGAAGGUGGCAAAAGCAGCAAUGUCCCGCUUAAUCUCAAAGAAUCUUUUUCUUGCCCGCCAGCUCAGGAAGGUGUAGAUCUCACUUUCCAGGACUGGGCUUUGGCUCGGCUCCAUUUCUGCUCAGAGCUUCUCGGGGGUGGGGGAGACCUGGGGACCUGCUGGGCAGUGAGACAGCCCCUGUGAGCCGGGAGGACUGGAAGAGAUGCAGCUACACGCUGCCAGUCCCUCGCUGGAGGAUGCAGGCCAUCACCUGAGUCAGGUGAGCCUUGUAACCCUGCCACUGAACCGAGGCUUGGGCAUGGCCGUGCGCGGUGGGAAGGCUGUUCCCGAGCUUAGAGCAGGAGUGGAGUGAGAUGACUCCUGUCAGGAGGGAUGGAAUCCCCAGUAGCCGACCCACAGUGUCCAAAAAGAGGAGUGAAUGGUCUUGUGUGAAGGGAAGGGACUCAGAAGGCAGGAAGUGACAGAAGCACAGGGCACACUGCUUUCGUUGUCUCCACCGAGUGACAUGGAGCAACACAACCGAACAGAAACGGAAGACUGAACAUUGGUUUUCCACAAGUUGUUAAUGCCAACAGUUAAAAAAUGAGCAGCAGUAUCAGCUUGAGGCAAAUCAUUUAACUGUCACAUUGUAAAUGACCCUACUCUUUUCUGAACUGUGAUUAUUUUUUAAACUGCUAGUCCUGAGAGGAGGAGGGAGUUGGACUCGAUGGUACUUAUGGGUCCCUUUCAGCUUUUGAGAUAUUCUGUGCAGUUCAGGGAUGCUUCGUCUCACAGGCUGUGUGCGGAGCAGCCUUGCCAUCCUGUGUGGGUCCUGUGAGGAUGUCUCACCAGUGGCCUGACUCGGUUUCCCUGUAUAUGGGUGUACCUUAUUUGCUUUUCCUUUGUCAUGUUGAAUUCAUGUCUACCUGAAGGAAUCAUAGCUGCACCCACACUUCCUGUGUAGGGGUGUCUAUGUGUAUAUGCCGAGGGGCAGCAAGUCCUCGAUCUUCAGGUUCUCAUGGUUUUUGACCAGGCAUGGGAUCUUAAAGGAGAGCUUUCAAGAAGCAGCUGCAGUGGUGGAUAACCCCUCUGCCCAGGUGGGUCCCCAGGUGCCAGCCAAGGAACUGGGCACCAACUGCAGAGCUUACCUUAUCCCUGACCCAUUGGCAAACCAGCCUCUCUCCUGCUGUCUUCUACCGGUGCUGGCGAAGAUUCUAUGGGGUGGGGCAGGAUGAGAGGGUCAGGGUCUCUAGAACGCACCUAUUGUAAGUCUGUCCCCACUCCUGGUCCGAUUGUGGGUAGCCCUUUCCAGGCAUCUGGGCACAUAAAGCAGCUCCCAGGGACAGGCUUUUCUAACGUGAUGUGCUGGUUUUAAAACUCAGUGGGAAAACCAAGCCCGCUCAAAUUGCCCCAUUGACAGUGGAGGAAAGAAUACUAGGAGAGGAGUCACAAUUUACUAAAGAAAUUGCAAUAUACACAACAACAAUAGUAAGAGAUUAUGCAAAAGAGGGAACCACAAAGGCAAGAUGUUGCCUAGCCCCCCUAGAACAAGGUGGUGACUGUUCCCAUGCAGCAACACCACAUGGCCCCCUGGGAACAAAGGCAAGAUGGCAAAGAGGCUCUCCUGGCUUAAACUUCACCCCCUUCCCCUGCCUAGGAACAAUGAAAAACCAAAUGGGGACAACCCAAAACCUGGAGAGCUGAUUCGUUUGAAUUGGGGGGUUUACUACCAAAAUGCUGACCCCGGUGGUGGCAGUGGGGACU